UACGGGGGGGGCAAGCGUUGUUCGGAAUUACUGGGCGUAAAGCGUGCGCAGGCGGUGAUGUAAGACAGGUGUGAAAUCCCCGGGCUUAACCUGGGAACUGCAUUUGUGACUGCAUCGCUGGAGUGCGGCAGAGGGGGAUGGAAUUCCGUGUGUAGCAGUGAAAUGCGUAGAUAUGCGGAGGAACACCGAUGGCGAAGGCAAUCCCCUGGGCCUGCACUGACGCUCAUGCACGAAAGCGUGGGGAGCAAACAGG
rnacentral:rRNA from 1 species